rnacentral:rRNA from 1 species
UUGAUAGUACCUUACUACUUGGAUAACCGUGGUAAUUCUAGAGCUAAUACAUGCUAAAAAUCCCGACUUCGGAAGGGAUGUAUUUAUUAGAUUAAAAACCAAUGCCCUUCGGGGCUCUCUGGUGAUUCAUAAUAACUUCUCGAAUCGCAUGGCCUUGUGCCGGCGAUGGUUCAUUCAAAUUUCUGCCCUAUCAACUUUCGACGGCUGGGUCUUGGCCAGCCAUGGUGACAACGGGUAACGGAGGGUUAGGGCUCGACCCCGGAGAAGGAGCCUGAGAAACGGCUACUACAUCCAAGGAAGGCAGCAGGCGCGCAAAUUACCCAAUCCCAACUCGGGGAGGUAGUGACAAUAAAUACUGAUACAGGGCUCUUUUGGGUCUUGUAAUUGGAAUGAGUACAAUUUAAAUCCCUUAACGAGGAACAAUUGGAGGGCAAGUCUGGUGCCAGCAGCCGCGGUAAUUCCAGCUCCAAUAGCGUAUAUUAAAGUUGUUGAGGUUAAAAAGCUCGUAGUUGAACCUUGGGCCUGGCUGGCCGGUCCGCCUCACCGCGUGCACUGGUCCGGCCGGGCCUUUCCCUCUGGGGAGCCGCAUGCCCUUCACUGGGUGUGUCGGGGAACCAGGACUUUUACUGUGAACAAAUUAGAUCGCUUAAAGAAGGCCUAUGCUCGAAUACAUUAGCAUGGAAUAAUAGAAUAGGACGUGUGGUUCUAUUUUGUUGGUUUUUAGGACCGCCGUAAUGAUUAAUAGGGACAGUCGGGGGCAUCAGUAUUCAAUUGUCAGAGGUGAAAUUCUUGGAUUUAUUGAAGACUAACUACUGCGAAAGCAUUUGCCAAGGAUGUUUUCAUUAAUCAGGAACGAAAGUUAGGGGAUCGAAGACGAUCAGAUACCGUCGUAGUCUUAACCAUAAACUAUGCCGAUUAGGGAUCGGACGAUGUUAUUUUUUGACUCGUUCGGCACCUUACGAUAAA